rnacentral:rRNA from 1 species
AUGUCUAANUCAAGCNUAACNNAGGUGAANCCGCGNAUGGNUCAUUAAAUCACACCUAAUCUACUGGAAUGUUAGCAGUUACUUGGAUAACUGAGGUAAUUCUUGAGCUAAUACAUGCGAAAAAUCUCGACUCACGGAGAGAUGCUUUUAUUAGAACAAAACCAAACGGCUUCGGCCGUAACACUGGUGACUCUGAAUAACUUUGGGCUGAUCGCAUUGCCUUGUGCAGGCGACAUUUCCUUCGAAGGUGUGCCCUAUCAACUGUCGACUGUGAUAUAGACGCUCACAGUGGUUUUGACGGGUAACGGGGAAUCAGGGUUCGAUUCCGGAGAGGGAGCCUUAAAAACGGCUACCACAUCCAAGGAAGGCAGCAGGCACGCAAAUUACCCAAUGAUCGAAGAUCGAGGUAGUGACGAAAAAUAACAAUACAAGGACUCUUCCGAGGCCUUGUAAUUGGAAUGAGUACACUUUAAAACCGUUCCCGAGGAUCUAUUGGAGGGCAAGUCUGGUGCCANNNNNNNNNNNNNNNNNNNNNNNNNNNNNNNNNNNNNNNNNNNNNGUGGUUAAAAAAGCUNNGUAGUUGGAUUUCGGCGGGUAUUGGUCGGUUUGAAUUGCUUCAAUACUGACUUUUUUACCCGUGUGUUUUGCCAGAAUUUAACAGGUGAUCUUCGCCGAUUGUCCGUUAGAACUGGCAGGUUUACUUUGAAAAAAUUAGAGUGCUCAAAGCAAGCUUGAUUGCUUGAAUAUUCGUGCAUGGAAUAAUAGAAUAGGAAGUCGUUUCUAUUUUGUUGGUUUUCGGAAAUCGACUUAAUGAUUAAUAGGGAUAGUCGGGGGCAUUUGUAUUCAAACGACAGAGGUGAAAUUCUUGGACCGUUUGAAGACAAACUACUGCGAAAGCAUUUGCCAAGAAUGUUUUCAUUAAUCAAGAACGAAAGUUAGAGGUUCGAAGGCGAUUAGAUACCGCCCUAGUUCUAACCAUAAACGAUGCCAGCUAGCGAUCUGCCGGCGUUUUAUUUUCUGACUUGGCAGGGAGCUUCCGGGAAACCAAAGCUUGUGGGUUCCAGGGGAAGUAUGGUUGCAAAGCUGAAACUUAAAGGAAUUGACGGAAGGGCACCACCAGGAGUGGAGCCUGUGGCUUAAUUUGACUCAAC